rnacentral:lncRNA from 1 species
GACAUGGUGACAUUUGAAGGCUCCCCGCGCCAAAACGCCCAGGCCCAAGCUCCCAAUCACCAGCGCCCUCACCUCAGUCCGCCACUUCACUCUCCACACAGGUGGCGAAUAGGGCCUGCCGGCCUCCUGGGGGCUAAACCUAACCCUAUGUUGGCCCCCCAGGAGCCCCUCCCAAGGGGCCUGUCGUUGCAACGCUGGGGAUGGGGACCCCGAGCCCAAGUGCCAGACUCACCCUGCUGCCAUUCAGCCACCCGAGCCUCUAGGGACCCUCCAGUCAAUCAGGGAAGGAGAAUGGUCAGGGCCCUCUCAGCCCCCGCCGACCUUCGAAGGCGCACUGCGCUAAACACUUGGGCUCAUGCUCAGGCUCACCAGCGCCCUCACCUCGGCUCAACCCUCCGCAUGUUGCACAGCUGCUGAUCGGGUCCACCGGCCUUCUGGGGGUAACCGUAACCCUAGAUCGACCCCCGAGGGGCCCCUCCCAAGGGGCCUGGCGCUGCAACGCCAGGGAUUGGGGACCCCAACCUCAACACUGGCCUCACCCUGCCGCCCAGCUGCUACCCGGGUCUUGGGGUCCUGCCCUUCAUUCAGGGCGGGAGAACGGGCGGGGCCCUCCAAAACACGGCGACCUUCAAAGGACCCCUGCGCUAAAACGCCCGGGCCCACGCUCCCGCUCACCAACGCUCUCAACUCGGUCCACCACUCCGCUAUCCACACAGCUGGCGAAUAGGGCCUGCUGGCCUCCUAGGGGCUACCCUAACCCUAUGUUGGCCCCCAAAGGGCCCCUCCCAAGGGGCUUGGCGCCAGAAAGCGGGGGAUUGGGGAUACCCGAGCCGCAGCGCCUGACUCACCCUGCCGCCCCACCGCCACUUGGGCUGCUAGGGGCGCUGCCAGUCAUUCAGGGAGGAGAAUGGGCACGGACCGCCGAGUCCCCGGAGACAUUCGAAGGACCCCAGCGCCAAAACGCUUGGGCCCACGCUCCCGCUCCACAGAGACCUCACCUUGACCCACCCCUCCUUUCACCGCACAGCUGGCGGAUUGAGCCUGCUGGCGUCCCGGGGGCUAAACCUAACCUUAGGUCAUCCCCUGAGGGGCCCCUCCCAAGCGGCCUGGUGCCCCAACGCGGUGGAUUGGGGACCCCUGAGCCACAGCGCUGGACUCACCUGCCUCCCCGCCACAACCCGGGCCACUAGGUUCCCCGCGGGUCAUUCAGAUUGGGA